rnacentral:tRNA from 1 species
GGAGAGGUGCCUGAGAGGCCGAUAGGGGCACCCUGCUAAGGUGUUAGUCGCGCAAGCGGCUCGAGGGUUCGAAUCCCUCCCUCUCCGCCU